rnacentral:rRNA from 1 species
ACGCUGGCGGCAGGCUUAACACCUGCAGUCGAGCGGAGAUGAGGUGCUUGCACCUUAUCUUAGCGGCGGACGGGUGAGUAAUGCUUAGGAAUCUGCCAUUUAGUGGGGGACAACAUUCCGAAAGGAAUGCUAAUACCGCAUACGUCCUACGGGAGAAAGCAGGGGAUCUUCGGACCUUGCGCUAAAUGAUGAGCCUAAGUCGGAUUAGCUAGUUGGUGGGGUAAAGGCCUACCAAGGGCGACGAUCUGUAGCGGGUCUGACAGGAUGAUCCGCCACACUGGGACUGACACACGGCCCAGACUCCUACGGGAGGCAGCAGUGGGGAAUAUUGGACAAUGGGCGGAAGCCUGAUCCAGCCAUGCCGCGUGUGUGAAGAAGGCCUUUUGGUUGUAAAGCACUUUAAGCGAGGAGGAGGCUACUGGUACUAAUACUACUGGAUAGUGGACGUUACUCGCAGAAUAAGCACCGGCUAACUCUGUGCCAGCAGCCGCGGUAAUACAGAGGGUGCGAGCGUUAAUCGGAUUUACUGGGCGUAAAGCCGUGCGUAGGCGGCUUGGAAUUUAACGUCGGCAUGUGACACUCCCUGAGCUUCUUGGGAAUU